rnacentral:tRNA from 1 species
UACGUAGCUCAGUGGUAGAGCACUUCCUUGGUAAGGAAGAGGUCGCCGGUUCGAUCCCGGCCGUA